CAAGACGAGCCCAGAACAGCCCGCCGCGGCCUAGGCCUGCACUGCCCCCUGCCGGCCGCAGCUGCUCAGGACUAGGCUCAUCCCAAAAGCAAAGGAAGGGCGAGAGGCUGCCGGCUUUUGGGUGAUCAAAAGGCCUGGCGGCGCCCAAAGUCUCUGCGCAUGGGCAGAGUGUCUUUCUCCAAAGGAACGGCCACUGCCGCUGGGAAAAGCACUUGUGGGAGGAAAUGCCUCUGAAUUUGCGCAUAGUGCCUUCCUUGCAGCUUGAACCCUUGAUUAGUUUUUCCCCCUUCUUGGGGUGGGGUGGGGGAAGAGAUCUCCAAGCAAAAUACCUCCGUUUGAGAGACCCAGCCAUGUGCAGAGUGCCUUUCUUAAAUAGGAAGCGGCCAUGUCCUGAGGCAGGCCACUGGUCUUUCUAGCUCAUUGUUGUCUGCUCUGACUGGUGGCAGCUUUCCAGGGCUUCAGGGCCUAGGGAUGUGCAUGACCCUGUUCAGAGGCCCCCUUUUACGGGCCUCCAAAUAGGUUUGGAGGGUGGUUUAUAAAGAUCUUUUUUUUAAAUAACCUGCUCAGCCUAUGGAGAAGAGAGCUGGUCUUGUGGUAGCAAGCAUGACUUGUCCCCAUAGCUAAGCAGGGUCUGCCCUGGUUGCCUCUGAAUGUGAGACUUGAUGUGUGAGCACUGCAAGAUAUUCCCCUCAGGGGAUGAAGAAGAGCAGAAGGUUUCAAGUUCCCUCCCUGGCAGCAUCUCCAAGAUAGGGCUGAGAGAGAUUCCUGCCUGCAACCUUGGAGAAGCCGCUGCCAGUCUGUGAAGACAAUACUGAGCUAGAUAGACCAAAGGUCUGACUCAGUAUAUGGCAGUUUCCUAUGUUCCUAUGCCAUUUCUUUUGUGGGUUGGGUGGUAGGUAGCACCCAUCAUACCCUACCACAGAACCCACUUUGGUGCCCCUAAGAGCUACACAUGGGGAGCAAUAGGUUGUUUGUUCCCCAUUGUUCUCUAUGGCCAAAUCACCUGAAUAGUUUUUGAGGAUUUUGCCAUUCGUUCCGUGCACAUCUCCAAUUUCUAAAGCAUUGUAUCAGCUUGUACAUUGUCUCCUUUUAUUUUCUUUUGAAAAAUGCAAUGUGUGUGUGGGGAGGGGGUGCUGCAAAGUUGAUGGCAGCUCAGGAGAAGGGGUGAUUAACCCUUUCCCUGCAAGCCAUUUUGGCAAUCAUAUCAUUCCCACAGCUUGUUUCUUCAACUUGCAGGGAUAAAAUAAGAAAAAUGCCAUGGUUGAGAAAGCAAGUCAGGGGUGAUUUUGCUGACUUGUAUCAGCAGGGGAAGAUAAGAGGUGCACCCCGAAGGGUGAGGAGAGGAAAAUGAACAGCAUGCUUCAGUGGGGUGAGAGGCGGUGACAACAGGUGCCAGAGAGGUGUGUGGGGUGGUACUCCUGGAGGUAGGGCCUGCCAUCCCUCCUCCCACCCACUGACCGCCUCACCCUGCCUCAUGGAAGGGCUGCUGUCUUUCCCUGUCCCAACAUCUGUACUAUGUGGGCAUUAAUAUUUGCACAUACCUUACAAUGCUAUGUUAAAGGCUACUGAGAUAAUGUGUGUGAAGUGCUUUGAAAUUUUGAGUCAGCUAAUAUAGGCUCUUAACAUUACUACUGAAUGAAAAGUGUUUAAGAACGGCCCUGCUGGAUCAGGCCCAAGGCCUAUCUAGUCCAGCAUCCCAUUUCACACAGUGGCCUACCAGAUGCUUCUGAGAAGCCACAGGAAAGAGCCAAAGGCAUGCCUUCUCUCUUGCUGUUGCUCCCCUGCAACUGAUCUUCAGAGGCAUCCUGCUUCUGAAGCUGGAGACGGCCUAUAGGCAUCAUAUUAAUAUCCUUUGAUAGACCAGUCCUCCAUGAAUUUGUCUAAGCCCCUUUUAAAGCCAUCGAAGCUAGUGGUCAUCACCAAAUCCCGUGCCAGAGAAUUCCACAGAUUAUGUGAUGUGUGAAAAAAUACUUCCUUUUAUUGGCCCUAAAUUUCCUGGCAAUCAGUUUCAUGGGAUGACCCCUGGUUCUAGCUUGUGUGAGAGAGGGAGAAAAAUUUCUCUCUGUCCACUCUCUCCACUCCAUGCAUAAUUUUAUAAACCUCUACAUCUCCCUGUAGUCCCCUUUUUUCCAAACUAAAAAGCUCUAGGUGUUGUAGAGUCAUAAGGAAGGUGCUCUAAGCCCGUGAUCAUCUUGGUUGUCCUCUUCUGGUGACCAAGGUGACCAAACUACGCAGUAUGCCAAAUGUAACCACACCAUAGAUUUUUUAAAGGGCAUUAUAAUAUUAGUAUUUGUACGUUCAGUCCCCUUCCUAAUGAUUCCUAGCAUGGAAUUUGCCUCUUUCACAGCUGUCGUGCAUGGAAUCAACACUUUCAAUGAGCUGUCUACCAUGACUCCAAGACCUCUCUCCUGGUCAGUCACUGAAAGCUCAGACCACAUCAGGGUGUAUGUGGUUUGUUUAAGAAAGCUCUUCUGUGUUUUUUAAAACAAUGUUUUUAUUAAGGAUUUGUUAUUUUAAAAUUUAACCAACACAGAAAUCAGUGUUGAAAUGCAAUGCCUCAUGAAAAUACAGACUCUAUAACAGCCACCAUCAUAAAUAAAAUGAACUUCUGUUUUCUCUAGAGAAAAUAAUAUCCAAAGGAAAAAUAAAUCAAGAAAAAUGCAAAAAUUUAGAACAAUCAUGAAAACCCUACAUCUUUUUCAAUCGAAAAUUGGCAAGGAAUAAAAAAUCUAGACGUUUUCUAUGUGAGAUGACUCCAGAAACCCCAACUGCAAGCUUUUGACUGACAUGCAGACAACAGAGCAAGGACACAGCUGGAGCACAGAUCACUUCUGUAGAAAGGAAAGAUCGGCGGACAUCAUUUCCCCUCACAGCUGGAGGCUGUUCUUAACAUAGUCAGAGGCUUCCCCAGCAACAAGUACAUGCGUGGGGAAGAGGAAGUGAUGUUCUGUGGCCAUCGGUCCUCCCUUACCCUAAAGAGUGAACCCUGUCCUGGCUGACAGGCAGUGACCUCUGGGGAUCAGCCACUCAGCACAAGGUGGCUGGGACCUAGAGGGCUUGGCAGCCAGAAGUGAAGGUUUUUCUUUGUUUUCCAGAAGGAACUAGGAGGGGAAUGAGAGAGGACGGGCGGAAGGCUUAGUGGGAUGCAGCGAUGGAACUUUUGUUGCCUCAUGGUCAAAAGCUAGCCUGAAGAAUUCUCUCAUGGAAGGACAUCUGCAGACCCUUGAGAGACAGGAUUGCAGGAAGCUUGAAAUCUCUCCUGGAGUUUGGAGUGAGUUUCAAGGACGAAGGAAGCCAGGGCUUUGGGGCUUCUGAAGGGUUUAGAGAGGGAGCAGUUUCUGAGUUAGCUCGUGUUAGAUUUCUUUCUUUUGUGCUAUGCAAAUCCUUACAAAUGGUUUAUUGUGUUUUUAUUUGUAAUGCAACAAAUUAAGAGGAACUGAGCUUGUACCUUUCUUUCCAACAAGGGCAUUGCAAAAGUUUUUGUAAACUCUCAAGGGUUUGGGGUUUUUUGUUUGUAUUUUCUUGCAUUUUUGUUCUAUGCAACUAGGUAACCACAAUUUUUAAAGUGUACCACCUCAAUAUUGUCUGAGGGUGCUUUUUGAAGUAUUCAUACAAGUUCUGAGUGUUUUUGUUACCUGUAACUCAAAGCUGAGAGAGCCUCAGACUGAAGCAGUCUGUAGUAUUUUGAAUAAAGUUUUCCUCUUUUUGUUUUUUGUA